UGGAAUUCGGGAGAAGAGAGCCGAAAAAGGACUAAAAUGGAGCAAAGUGAUAGUUCAGGGACUAAGGAUGCAAAUAUUCGAAAGUUGAACUAAAAGACAACUCGGGAAUGCAAAUAUGCUAAGUAUGAACUCGAAAGCAAUACAAGAUGAUUGGAAGAAGAAGGAAUUGCAAAGGGACUAAAAUGAAUUAAAUUGAAAGUUCGGGGACCAAGUUGCAAAUAAUUCAUAGAUGAGACGGGAAAUGGAAUGAAGAUUCAAGAGUGUUAGAAGUCAAUCGGAUGAGG
rnacentral:lncRNA from 1 species